UACAGAGGUCUCAAGCGUUGUUCGGAUUCAUUGGGCGUAAAGGGUGCGUAGGCGGCGCGGUAAGUCGGGUGUGAAAUCUUGGAGCUUAACUCCGAAACUGCAUUCGAUACUGCCGUGCUUGAGGACUGGAGAGGAGACUGGAAUUUACGGUGUAGCGGUGAAAUGCGUAGAUAUCGGAAGGAACACCAGUGGCGAAGGCGGCGCUCUGGACCGAGACUGACGCUGAGGCGCGAAAGCGUGGGGAGCAAACAGG
rnacentral:rRNA from 1 species